UACAGAGGGUGCAAGCGUUAUCCGGAUUCACUGGGUUUAAAGGGUGCGUAGGUGGGUUGGUAAGUCAGUGGUGAAAUCUCCGAGCUUAACUUGGAAACUGCCGUUGAUACUAUCAAUCUUGAAUAUCGCGUAGGUAAGCGGAAUAUGUCAUGUAGCGGUGAAAUGCUUAGAUAUGACAUAGAACACCAAUUGCGAAGGCAGCUUACUUCACGAUCAUUGACACUGAGGCACGAAAGCGUGGGGAGCAAACAGG
rnacentral:rRNA from 1 species